rnacentral:ncRNA from 1 species
ACAUAACUCUGGAGAGAUCCAUAUAAAGGACGCCGAAGGGGCAGGGGUGCAGGGAAGAGUAGUCGUUGCAUUCUAAUCUCUCAGGCAAAAGGACAGAGUCGG